AAGUGCGAAUGCUGACAUAAGUAACGAUAAAACGGGUGAAAAACCCGUUCGCCGGAAGACCAAGGGUUCCUGUCCAACGUUAAUCGGGGCAGGGUGAGUCGGCUCCUAAGGCGAGGCUGAAAAGCGUAGUCGAUGGGAAACAGGUUAAUAUUCCUGUACUUGGUAAAGCUGCGAUGUGGGGACGGAGUAGGUUAGGUUAUCGCACUGUUGGAUAUGUGCGUUUAAGUUGGUAGGUGGGAAGUUUAGGCAAAUCCGGGCUUCCUUAACACAGAGAGAUGAUGACGAGGCUCUACGGAGCUGAAGUAACUGAUACCACACUUCCAGGAAAAGCCACUAAGCGAAAGGCUUUACUAAACCGUACUGAAAACCGACACAGGUGGUCAGGUAGAGAAUACUCAGGCGCUUGAGAGAACUCGGGUGAAGGAACUAGGCAAAAUAGCACCGUAACUUCGGGAGAAGGUGCGCCGGCGUAGAUUGUAAGGGCUAGCCCCUGAAGGUUGAACCGGUCGAAGAUACCAGCUGGCUGCAACUGUUUAUUAAAAACACAGCACUCUGCAAACACGAAAGUGGACGUAUAGGGUGUGAUGCCUGCCCGGUGCUGGAAGGUUAAUUGAUGGUGUAAUCGCAAGAGAAGCACCUGAUCGAAGCCCCAGUAAACGGCGGCCGUAACUAUAACGGUCCUAAGGUAGCGAAAUUCCUUGUCGGGUAAGUUCCGACCUGCACGAAUGGCAUAAUGAUGGCCAGGCUGUCUCCACCCGAGACUCAGUGAAAUUGAAAUCGCCGUGAAGAUGCGGUGUACCCGCGGCUAGACGGAAAGACCCCGUGAACCUUUACUAUAGCUUGACACUGAACAUUGAAUUUUGAUGUGUAGGAUAGGUGGGAGCCUUUGAAGCAGUGACGCCAGUCAUUGUGGAGGCGACCUUGAAAUACCACCCUUUAACGUUUGAUGUUCUAACGAAGAUGACGAAACGUGGUCUCGGACAGUGUCUGGUGGGUAGUUUGACUGGGGCGGUCUCCUCCCAAAGCGUAACGGAGGAGCACGAAGGUUUGCUAAUCACGGUCGGACAUCGUGAGGUUAGUGCAAUGGUAUAAGCAAGCUUAACUGCGAGACAGACAAGUCGAGCAGGUACGAAAGUAGGUCAUAGUGAUCCGGUGGUUCUGAAUGGAAGGGCCAUCGCUCAACGGAUAAAAGGUACUCCGGGGAUAACAGGCUGAUACCGCCCAAGAGUUCAUAUCGACGGCGGUGUUUGGCACCUCGAUGUCGGCUCAUCACAUCCUGGGGCUGAAGUAGGUCCCAAGGGUAUGGCUGUUCGCCAUUUAAAGUGGUACGCGAGCUGGGUUUAGAACGUCGUGAGACAGUUCGGUCCCUAUCUGCCGUGGGCGUAGGAGAAUUGAUUGGGGCUGCUCCUAGUACGAGAGGACCGGAGUGGACGCACCACUGGUGUUCCGGUUGUGUCGCCAGACGCAUUGCCGGGUAGCUAAGUGCGGAAGAGAUAAGUGCUGAAAGCAUCUAAGCACGAAACUUGCCAAGAGAUGAGUUCUCCCAAUC
rnacentral:rRNA from 1 species